rnacentral:rRNA from 1 species
UGAGGAAUAUUGGUCAAUGGGCGAGAGCCUGAACCAGCCAAGUAGCGUGCAGGAUGACGGCCCUAUGGGUUGUAAACUGCUUUUAUAUGGGAAUAAAGUGAGGGACGUGUCCCUUAUUGCAUGUACCAUACGAAUAAGGACCGGCUAAUUCCGUGCCAGCAGCCGCGGUAAUACGGAAGGUUCGGGCGUUAUCCGGAUUUAUUGGGUUUAAAGGGAGCGUAGGCCGUUUGGUAAGCGUGUUAUGAAAUGUAGGAGCUCAACUUCUAGAUUGCAGCGCGAACUGUCAGACUUGAGUGCGCACAACGUAUGCGGAAUUCAUGGUGUAGCGGUGAAAUGCUUAGAUAUCAUGAAGAACUCCGAUUGCGAAGGCAGCUUACGGGAGCGCAACUGACGCUGAAGCUCGAAGGUGCGGGUAUCGAACAGG